rnacentral:rRNA from 1 species
ACGGAAGGCAGCAGUGGGGGAUAUUGCACAAUGGGGGAAACCCUGAUGCAGCGACGCCGCGUGAGUGAAGAAGUAUUUCGGUAUGUAAGGCUCUAUCAGCAGGGAAGAAAAUGACGGUACCUGACUAAGAAGCUCCGGCUAAAUACGUGCCAGCAGCCGCGGUAAUACGUAUGGAGCAAGCGUUAUCCGGAUUUACUGGGUGUAAAGGGAGCGUAGACGGUUUGCCAAGUCUGAUGUGAAAGCUUGGGGCUCAACCCCGAAACUGCAUUGGAAACUGGUAGACUAGAGUGUCGGAGAGGUAAGUGGAAUUCCUAGUGUAGCGGUGAAAUGCGUAGAUAUUAGGAGGAACACCAGUGGCGAAGGCGGCUUACUGGACGAUAACUGACGUUGAGGCUCGAAAGCGUGGGGAGCAAACAGGAUUAGAUACCCUGGUA